AUUGAACGCUGGCGGCAUGCUUUACACAUGCAAGUCGAACGGUAACAGGUUAAGCUGACGAGUGGCGAACGGGUGAGUAAUGCAUCGGAACGCGCCCGGUCGUGGGGGAUAACGCAGCGAAAGCUGCGCUAAUACCGCAUACGACCUGAGGAUGAAAGCCGGGGACCGUAAGGCCUCGCGCGAUCGGAGCGGCCGAUGUCAGAUUAGGUAGUUGGUGGGGGAAAGGCUCACCAAGCCAACGAUCUGUAGCUGGUCUGAGAGGACGACCAGCCACACUGGGACUGAGACACGGCCCAGACUCCUACGGGAGGCAGCAGUGGGGAAUUUUGGACAAUGGGCGAAAGCCUGACCCAGCAAUGCCGCGUGCAGGAAGAAGGCCUUCGGGUUGUAAACUGCUUUUGUACGGAGCGAAAAGAUCUCCUCUAAUACAGGGGGCUCAUGACGGUACCGUAAGAAUAAGCACCGGCUAACUACGUGCCAGCAGCCGCCGUAA
rnacentral:rRNA from 1 species